GACGAACGCUGGCGGCGUGCUUAACACAUGCAAGUCGAACGGAAAGGCCCUGCGCUUGCGGGGUGCUCGAGUGGCGAACGGGUGAGUAACACGCGAGUAACCUGUCCUUGACUGUGGGAGAAAUUCAGGAAACUGGGGCUAAUACCCGAUAGGAUCUCCUGCUGCACGGGGGGGGUUGGAAAGUUUCGGCGGUGGGGGAUGGACUCGCGGGUUAUCAGCUGGUUAGUGAGGUAGUGGCUUACCAGGGUUUUGACGGGUAGCCGGCCUGAGAGGGUGAACGGGCACAAUGGGACUGCGGUACGGCGCAGACUGCUACGGGCGGCAGCGGUGGGGAGUAUUGCGCAGUGGGCGGGAGCGUGAUGCAGCGGCGCCGCGAUCGGAAUGACGGCUUUCUGGUUGUAAACCGAUUUGGCAUGAGCCGAAGCGUGAGUGACGGUAAUGAGUAAAAAAGCAACGGCUAACUACGUG
rnacentral:rRNA from 1 species